AUGAACGCUAGCUACAGGCUUAACACAUGCAAGUCGAGGGGCAGCAUGUUGUGUGCUUGCACACAAUGAUGGCGACCGGCGCACGGGUGAGUAACGCGUAUCCAACCUGGCCCGCAGUAGGGAACAGCCCGGCGAAAGUCGGAUUAAUGCCCUAUGUCUUCCUUUGCAGGCAUCCAAUGAGGAGGAAAGAUUUAUCGCUGCGGGAUGGGGAUGCGUCUGAUUAGCUUGUCGGCGGGGGUAACGGCCCACCGAGGCUACGAUCAGUAGGGGUUCGUGAGAGGAAGGUCCCCCACCACUGGUACUGAGACACGGACCAGACUCCUACGGGAGGCAGCAGUGAGGAAUAUUGGUCAAUGGGCGAGAGCCUGAACCAGCCAAGUAGCGUGCAGGAACCGACUGCCCUAUGGGUUGUAAACUGCUUUUAUGCGGGGAUAAACUUCAGCACGUGUGCUGUUUUGCAGGUACCGCAUGAAUAAGGACCGGCUAAUUCCGUGCCAGCAGCCGC
rnacentral:rRNA from 1 species